rnacentral:rRNA from 1 species
GAUGAACGCUAGCGACAGGCUUAACACAUGCAAGUCGAGGGGCAGCAUAAAAGUAGCAAUACUUUGGUGGCGACCGGCGCACGGGUGAGUAACGCGUAUGCAACCUACCUAUCAGAGGGGAAUAACCCGGCGAAAGUCGGACUAAUACCGCAUAAAACAGGGGCACCGCAUGGUGAUAUUUGUUAAAGAAAUUCGCUGAUAGAUGGGCAUGCGUUCCAUUAGGUAGUUGGUGAGGUAACGGCUCACCAAGCCGACGAUGGAUAGGGGGAACUGAGAGGUUGGUCCCCCCACACUGGUACUGAGACACGGACCAGACUCCUACGGGAGGCAGCAGUGGGGGGAUAUUGCACAAUGGGCGAAAGCCUGAUGCAGCAACGCCGCGUGAGGGAAGACGGUUUUCGGAUGUAAACCUCUGUCUUCGGUGAAGAAACAAAUGACGGUAGCCGAGGAGGAGCCACGGCUAACUACGUGCCAGCAGCCGCGGUAAU